GGAGGGAUGCGUGAUGUAAGGGAAUGUGUUUGAGGUACGGAGAGGGAUGCGUGAUGUAAGGGAAUGUGUUUGAGGUACGGAGAGGGAUGCGUGAUGUAAGGGAAUGUGUUUGAGGUGGGGCGAGGGAUGCGUGAUGUAAGGGAAUGUGUUUGAGGUGGGGCGAGGGAUGCGUGAUGUAAGGGAAUGUGUUUGAGGUGGGGCGAGGGAUGCGUGAUGUAAGGGAAUGUGUUUGAGGUGGGGCGAGGGAUGCGUGAUGUAAGGGAAUGUGUUUGAGGUACGGAGAGGGAUGCGUGAUGUAAGGGAAUGUGUUUGAGGUACGGCGAGGGAUGCGUGAUGUAAGGGAAUGUGUUUGAGGUGGGGCGAGGGAUGCGUGAUGUAAGGGAAUGUGUUUGAGGUACGGAGAGGGAUACGUGAUG